rnacentral:hammerhead_ribozyme from 1 species
AGGCGAAACGCCCUUCGGGGCGUCCGCCCGGGGUGGUGCCCGGGUGCUGAUGAGCCAGCCGCUC